AUUGAACGCUGGCGGCAGGCCUAACACAUGCAAGUCGAGCGAGCGGCGGACGGGUGAGUAAUGUCUGGGUAACAGCCCGAUGGAGGGGGAUAACUACUGGAAACGGUAGCUAAAACCGCAUACCAUCAGAUGUGCCCAGAUGGGAUGGGCUAGUAGGUGGGGUAAUGGUUCACAUAGGCGACGAUCCCUAGCUGGUCUGAGAGGCUGACCAGCCACACUGGAACGGAGACACGGUCCAGACUCCUACGGGAGGCAGCAGUGGGGAAUAUUGCACAAUGUGCGCAAGCCUGAUGCAGCCAGGCCGCGUGUGUGAAGAAGGCCUUCGGGUGGUAAAGCACUUUCAGCGGGGAGGCGUUACCCGCAGAAGAAGCACCGGCUAACUCCGUGCCAGCCGCCGCGGUAAUAC
rnacentral:rRNA from 1 species